rnacentral:rRNA from 1 species
UACGAGGGGGGCAAAUGUUGUUCGGAAUCACUGGGCGUAAAGGGAGCGUAGGCGGGUUUUUAAGUCAGGUGUUUAAUCCCGGGGCCCAACCCCGGACAGGCACUUGAAACUGGGAAUCUUGAAUAGUGGAGAGGUCAGUGGAAUUGGGGGUGUAGCGGUGGAAUGCGUAGAGAUCAGCAGGAACACCCGUGGCGAAGGCGGCCCCCUGGGCCGUACCUGACGCUGAGGCGCGAAAGCGUGGGGAGCGAACAGG